rnacentral:rRNA from 1 species
AACGCGAAGAACCUUACCAGGUCUUGACAUCCUCUGACACUCCUAGAGAUAGGACGUUCCCCUUCGGGGGACAGAGUGACAGGUGGUGCAUGGUUGUCGUCAGCUCGUGUCGUGAGAUGUUGGGUUAAGUCCCGCAACGAGCGCAACCCUUGAUCUUAGUUGCCAGCAUUUAGUUGGGCACUCUAAGGUGACUGCCGGUGACAAACCGGAGGAAGGUGGGGAUGACGUCAAAUCAUCAUGCCCCUUAUGACCUGGGCUACACACGUGCUACAAUGGAUGGUACAAAGGGCAGCAAAGCGGUGACGCCUAGCAAAUCCCAUAAAACCAUUCUCAGUUCGGAUUGUAGGCUGCAACUCGCCUACAUGAAGCUGGAAUCGCUAGUAAUCGCGGAUCAGCAUGCCGCGGUGAAUACGUUCCCGGGCCUUGUACACACCG